rnacentral:misc_RNA from 1 species
AAGUCGUAACAAGGUCUCCGUUGGUGAACCAGCGGAGGGAUCAUUACAGAGUUGCAAAACUCCCAACCCUUUGUGAACGAACCUACCAGUUGCCUCGGCGGCGAGCUUUUCAGGCGGACCGCCGGAGGAAUACAAACUCUUUACAUUAUAGUAUCUCUGAUUACUUAUUUAAUAAGUUAAAACUUUCAACAACGGAUCUCUUGGUUCUG